rnacentral:rRNA from 1 species
CGAACGGGUGAGUAACACGUGGGCAACCUGCCCGAAAGAGGGGGAUAACACCUGGAAACAGGUGCUAAUACCGCAUAACCAUAGUUACCGCAUGGUAGCUAUGUAAAAGGUGGCUAUGCUACCGCUUUUGGAUGGGCCCGCGGCGCAUUAGCUAGUUAGUGGGGUAAAGGCUUACCAAGGCAAUGAUGCGUAGCCGAACUGAGAGGUUGAUCGGCCACAUUGGGACUGAGACACGGCCCAAACUCCUACGGGAGGCAGCAG